rnacentral:rRNA from 1 species
UACGUAGGGGGCAAGCGUUGUCCGGAAUCACUGGGCGUAAAGCGCGCGCAGGCGGUCAUCUACGUCUGGGGUGAAAGCCCGGAGCUCAACUCCGGGACUGCCUUGGAUACGGGAUGACUUGAGGAUCGGAGAGGCAAGGGGAAUUCCACGUGUAGCGGUGAAAUGCGUAGAGAUGUGGAGGAACACCUGUGGCGAAGGCGCCUUGCUGGCCGAUUUCUGACGCUUAGGCGCGAAAGCGUGGGGAGCAAACAGG